rnacentral:rRNA from 1 species
GUAGGUGGCAAGCGUUGUCCGGAAUUAUUGGGCGUAAAGCGUGCGCAGGCGGUUCUUUAAGUCUGAUGUGAAAGCCCACGGCUCAACCGUGGAGGGUCAUUGGAAACUGGAGAACUUGAGUACAGAAGAGGAAAGCGGAAUCCCACGUGUAGCGGUGAAAUGCGUAGAGAUGUGGAGGAACACCAGUGGCGAAGGCGGCUUUCUGGUCUGUAACUGACGCUGAGGCGCGAAAGCGUGGGGAGCAAACAGGGAUUAGAUACCCUGGUAGUCCACGCCGUAAACGAUGAGUGCUAAGUGUUAGGGGGGUUUUCCGCCCCCUUAGUGCUGCAGCUAACGCAUUAAGCACUCCGCCUGGGGAGUACGGCCGCAAGGCUG